rnacentral:rRNA from 1 species
UACGUAGGGCGCGAGCGUUGUCCGGAUUUAUUGGGCGUAAAGGGCUUGUAGGCGGCUCGUCGCGUCGGAUGUGAAAACCCGUGGCUCAACUGCGGGCCUGCAUUCGAUACGGGCUGGCUAGAGUACGGCAGGGGAGACUGGAAUUCCUGGUGUAGCGGUGGAAUGCGCAGAUAUCAGGAGGAACACCGGUGGCGAAGGCGGGUCUCUGGGCCGUUACUGACGCUGAGGAGCGAAAGCGUGGGGAGCGAACAGG